UAGGGAAUCUUCGGCAAUGGACGGAAGUCUGACCGAGCAACGCCGCGUGAGUGAAGAAGGUUUUCGGAUCGUAAAGCUCUGUUGUAAGAGAAGAACGAGUGUGAGAGUGGAAAGUUCACACUGUGACGGUAUCCUACCAGAAAGGGACGGCUAACUACGUGCCAGCAGCCGCGGUAAUACGUAGGUCCCGAGCGUUGUCCGGAUUUAUUGGGCGUAAAGCGAGCGCAGGCGGUUAGAUAAGUCUGAAGUUAAAGGCUGUGGCUUAACCAUAGUACGCUUUGGAAACUGUUUAACUUGAGUGCAAGAGGGGAGAGUGGAAUUCCAUGUGUAGCGGUGAAAUGCGUAGAUAUAUGGAGGAACACCGGUGGCGAAAGCGGCUCUCUGGCUUGUAACUGACGCUGAGGCUCGAAAGCGUGGGGAGCAAACAGGAUUAGAUACCCUGGUAGUCCACGCCGUAAACGAUGAGUGCUAGGUGUUAGACCCUUUCCGGGGUUUAGUGCCGUAGCUAACGCAUUAAGCACUCCGCCUGGGGAGUACGACCGCAAGGUUG
rnacentral:rRNA from 1 species